rnacentral:rRNA from 1 species
UAUGAACGCUGGCGGCGUGCCUAAUACAUGCAAGUCGAGCGAACAGACGAGGAGCUUGCUCCUCUGACGUUAGCGGCGGACGGGUGAGUAACACGUGGAUAACCUACCUAUAAGACUGGGAUAACUUAGGGAAACCGGAGCUAAUACCGGAUAAUAUAUUGAACCGCAUGGUUCAAUAGUGAAAGACGGUUUUGCUGUCACUUAUAGAUGGAUCCGCGCCGCAUUAGCUAGUUGGUAAGGUAACGGCUUACCAAGGCAACGAUGCGUAGCCGACCUGAGAGGGUGAUCGGCCACACUGGAACUGAGACACGGUCCAGACUCCUACGGGAGGCAGCAGUAGGGAAUCUUCCGCAAUGGGCGAAAGCUUGACGGAGCAACGCCGCGUGAGUGAUGAAGGUCUUCGGAUCGUAAAACUCUGUUAUUAGGGAAGAACAAAUGUGUAAGUAACUAUGCACGUCUUGACGGUACCUAAUCAGAAAGCCACGGCUAACUACGUG